rnacentral:rRNA from 1 species
GCAGUAGGGAAUCUUCGGCAAUGGACGGAAGUCUGACCGAGCAACGCCGCGUGAGUGAAGAAGGUUUUCGGAUCGUAAAGCUCUGUUGUAAGAGAAGAACGAGUGUGAGAGUGGAAAGUUCACACUGUGACGGUAUCUUACCAGAAAGGGACGGCUAACUACGUGCCAGCAGCCGCGGUAAUACGUAGGUCCCGAGCGUUGUCCGGAUUUAUUGGGCGUAAAGCGAGCGCAGGCGGUUAGAUAAGUCUGAAGUUAAAGGCUGUGGCUUAACCAUAGUACGCUUUGGAAACUGUUUAACUUGAGUGCAAGAGGGGAGAGUGGAAUUCCAUGUGUAGCGGUGAAAUGCGUAGAUAUAUGGAGGAACACCGGUGGCGAAAGCGGCUCUCUGGCUUGUAACUGACGCUGAGGCUCGAAAGCGUGGGGAGCAAACAGGAUUAGAUACCCUGGUAGUCCACGCCGUAAACGAUGAGUGCUAGGUGUUAGACCCUUUCCGGGGUUUAGUGCCGCAGCUAACGCAUUAAGCACUCCGCCUGGGGAGUACGACCGCAAGGUUGAAACUCAAAGGAAUUGACGGGGGCCCGCACAAG